GACGAACGCUGGCGGCGUGCCUAACACAUGCAAGUCGAGCGGGGUUGAAGCGAGAGGUAACUCGAACUUCUACCUAGCGGCGGACGGGUGAGUAACGCGUGGGCAACCUGCCUCAAGGUCUGGGAUAACAGCCCGAAAGGGCUGCUAAUACCGGGUAUGCUUGUGGCCUCGCAUGGGGCUACGAGCAAAGGGGAAACCCGCCUUGAGAUGGGCCCGCGUCCCAUCAGCUAGUUGGUGAGGUAACAGCUCACCAAGGCGACGACGGGUAGCCGGCCUGAGAGGGUGACCGGCCACACUGGGACUGAGACACGGCCCAGACUCCUACGGGGGGCAGCAGUGGGGGAUCUUGCACAAUGGGCGAAAGCCUGAUGCAGCGACGCCGCGUGAGCGAAGAAGGCCUUCGGUGUAAAGCUCUGUCUGGAGGACGGAAGGAAGGUGACGGUACCUCCGGAGGAAGACCACGGCUAACUACGUGCCAGCAGCCGCGGUAAACGUCGUCUCUA
rnacentral:rRNA from 1 species